rnacentral:rRNA from 1 species
AUUGAACGCUGGCGGCAUGCUUUACACAUGCAAGUCGAACGGUAACAGGCCUUCGGGUGCUGACGAGUGGCGAACGGGUGAGUAAUGCAUCGGAACGUACCCAGAGGUGGGGGAUAACGCAGCGAAAGCUGUGCUAAUACCGCAUGUGAUCUGAGGAUGAAAGCGGGGGACCGAGCAGCAAUGUUUGGCCUCGCGCCUUUGGAGCGGCCGAUGUCGGAUUAGCUAGUUGGUGGGGUAAAGGCCUACCAAGGCGACGAUCCGUAGCUGGUCUGAGAGGACGACCAGCCACUCUGGGACUGAGACACGGCCCAGACUCCUACGGGAGGCAGCAGUGGGGAAUUUUGGACAAUGGGCGCAAGCCUGAUCCAGCAAUGCCGCGUGCGGGAAGAAGGCCUUCGGGUUGUAAACCGCUUUUGGCAGGAACGAAACGGUGUCCGCUAAUACCGGGCGCUAAUGACGGUACCUGCAGAAUAAGCACCGGCUAACUACGUG